rnacentral:rRNA from 1 species
UUCCAGACUCCUACGGGAGGCAGCAGUGGGGAAUAUUGCACAAUGGGGGAAACCCUGAUGCAGCAACGCCGCGUGAGUGAAGAAGUAUUUCGGUAUGUAAAGCUCUAUCAGCAGGGAAGAAGAAGGACGGUACCUGAGUAAGAAGCCCCGGCUAACUACGUGCCAGCAGCCGCGGUAAUACGUAGGGGGCAAGCGUUAUCCGGAUUUACUAGGUGUAAAGGGAGCGUAGACGGCGAAGAAAGUCUGAAGUGAAAGCCCGCGGCUCAACCGCGGAAUGGCUUUGGAAACUUUUUUGCUGGAGUACCGGAGAGGUAAGCGGAAUUCCUAGUGUAGCGGUGAAAUGCGUAGAUAUUAGGAGGAACACCAGUGGCGAAGGCGGUCUGCUGGACAGCAACUGACGCUGAGGCGCGAAAGCGUGGGGAGCAAACAGGAUUAGAUACCCUCGUAUU